CCUUCGAUAGCUCAGUUGGAAGAGCGGAGCACUGUAGAAAAGAAAAACAUUGCUGACAUCCUUAGGUCGCUGGUUCAAUUCCGGCUCGAAGGA
rnacentral:tRNA from 14 species